rnacentral:lncRNA from 1 species
AUGAGUAGCCUGGUCUGGCACUGCCAAAGUACCAGCAAUGAACAGUUCAUAAUAAGACUGUCAGGUGUCGAGGAUACACACAGGUCAUCAGUCUUCCAGGUAACCUUGAUCAAAACGUGGAAGAAGAGCAGAAUACAGCAUUUCAGAGUGAUCAUCCAUCUCAGGCAACAAAUGCUGAGGAAUCAUGAACCCAGUAACUGCUGCACAAGCAAGUAUAAGCUGGCAACUUGCCUUUUCAAAGGAAAGUAUGAAAAUCCCCUGAUAACAAUGAAUGCUUUAUUGGCAACCUGAAUAGUUUGGAAUACUAAGUUUUGAGCUCAAGGCGGAAUCGGUCCUUUCAGUACCAGCUCCCACGUUAAGCCCUGCUGGGCAGCACAGCCAAGAGGGAGCGGAGGCAGAAGGCAGAAACGGGAGCAGGACGGCUGCUAAAGUAGGACGAUGAUGCAGAAACCAUCCGUGCCAUGGAGAAGCGCAACCAUGUGGCACCACAGAUACAUGCCGUAGCCUUCGGCCAAACACCAGUGAUCCGCAGUGACUUUGGCAUGCAACUUCCCUAGCAGAUCUGGUGUGUGGAAAACAUCUCCUGGGGCAAAAAAAAAAAAAAAAAAAAAGAAUGAAAAAAUAAGUAAAAAAAAAGAAACAAAUAAAAGGAACGCUGCAAAUCCAGAUGUUGGAAUUUUCCAAUCCCCCUAGCAAGACAAGAUAAGCAGGGGAUAAUCCUCGUUUAUAUAACUUUUUUUUUUUUUUUUUUUUAAAUAAAACCUGAGACCAACAGGCAUGUUUUCACAAGGUUUGUUUGCUUGUUCUCUAAAAGCCACAGUGCGAAUUUUCGGGAGGCCCCGCACCGCCUCGGGCAGCCGCGCCGCGCCGAGCCGUGUACCGGGUACCGGGGAGCGCCGCAGCCUGCGGCCACCCCUCGUCCAUCCCGCGGGCUCUCGGGGCAGGCGGUGCCGGGGACCGAGCCCUCGAAGCCCCGGGCCCCUUCUCCUUCCUCACAAGGCCGAG